rnacentral:rRNA from 1 species
UACGAACGCUGGCGGCAGGCUUAACACAUGCAAGUCGAACGCCCCGCAAGGGGAGUGGCAGACGGGUGAGUAACGCGUGGGAAUCUACCUGAUACUACGGAACAACUGAGGGAAACUUCAGCUAAUACCGUAUACGCCCUAAGGGGGAAAGAUUUAUCGGUAUCAGAUGAGCCCGCGUUGGAUUAGCUAGUUGGUGGGUA